rnacentral:lncRNA from 1 species
GCAGAUCCCGGCAACUUGCGAACCGGGAAAAGUUUGCGGCGCCUCCGCGGGGCGGCGCGACGCGGCCCGCCCCUCGCGUCCGCGGUCAUCGCGGGUGACUUUCUCGACUCGUCGUCAGCCGGGGCCGCAGCGCGGCCGGUGGGGACUGCGGGGCGGGCCGGAGUCCGUCCGAGGGCUCCCGCACCUCGGGCUGCGGGAACAUUAAAAUCUCCCCAGAUGCUCACUGCUCUGAUCAUUUCCCCUACAGCACCAGACAUGUUGGCAUCAUCUCUUAGUUGGGCCAUGUGGCCAGGGAACCCUUCAUGAAACCACCUCUGCAGUCCUGGAGAGUUGCUGUAGAAGAAGGAAAAGAGAGGAAGACAACACAACACAGGAGGGGAUAAGUACCUCUGGACACAAUGGAAGUAGUAGUUGUUGAGCAGAGGGAAAGGGAUAGGAGAAGGAUGUGGACUGCAGUGCUGCAGUGCCAGGUAAUAACUUUGAUCAUGUACCUCCUUGGCUCAGGUGCUGUCUCUUCUACUCUCCUCCUUACUUGUACUACCUUAUUUAGCACUUAAUUAUAUACUUUCUUGACUCACUUUGAGACACACUGAUUAUGUGGUCUGCCUCAAAGACAGAAUCCUAGUUUUGGAUUUUAGCAUUACUGAUCUAUAGCCUUGCAGGGGCUUAAGGAUGGCAGCUGUCUCUCUCCCUUGGGAUCUAGCUUUUGCAAAUAUU